rnacentral:rRNA from 1 species
CUGGUUGAUCCUGCCAGUAGUCAUAUGCUCGUCCUCAAAGAUUAAGCCAUGCAUGUCUAAGUAUAAAUAGUAUACAGUAAAACUGCGAAUGGCUCAUUAAAACAGUUAUAGUUUAUUUGAUAAUGGAAGGCUACAUGGAUACCCGUGGUAAUUCUAGAGCUAAUACAUGCUGUCAAACCUGACUUCUGGAAAGGUUGUAUUUAUUAGAUAUCAAGCCAAUAUUCCUUCGGGUCUAUUGUGGUGAAUCAUAGUAACUGAUCGAAUUGCAGGCUACCUGCGAUAGUUCAUUCAAGUUUCUGCCCUAUCAGCUCUCGAUGGUUAGUGUAUUGGACUACCAUGGCAGUAACGGGUAACGGAGAAUUAGGGUUCGAUUCCGGAGAGGGAGCCUGAGAAAACGGCUACCACAUCUAAGGAAGGCAGCAGGCGCGUAAAUUACCCAAUCCCGAUUCGGGGAGGUAGUGACAAGGAAUAU